rnacentral:lncRNA from 1 species
AGGCUGACUACUGGAGGAAUUGAAUGGCAAAGAUGGUGUCUUAUUCAUGCCUGAGAGGCUGCUGACAAAAGGGAUGCCUGGAGCAGCAAGGAAGCCUUUCAAGAGAAAUCCAGCAAGAGGACUUUGAUGUGCAACUUCUCUGGGCAGGAGCCUGAACCCAGGGAUGCUGUUGACUUUAAAGAUAAUGAGGCACUGUCCUAUCCACCUGAACUUACAAUCUCACAUAUGCAAAAGGUACCACAGCUGAAAACCUACUAGUAUAAGGACAGGUACAGCAAGAAGAACAGCAUCAGAAUGCAGGGCAGGUGUGGGACAUCUCCAUAUGUUUGAGGCAAAGUUCAGCUUAUACUUCAACAGAGGGGCACUGAGAAUCCUAGGCAUAUUCCAAUGAUCAAGAGGGGAAAAGAGGCCAAAUGCUGAUUGCAUCUCUAGUUAGUAGUAAAGGACUGUUCGUGCUUCAGGAAAAGGCCAUCACAGGAAUCAACAGUAUAAAUGCUACAGGAAAACCACAAGGUUUAUGAAGGGAAAGAGAUCAACGGAAUGUGCUAAGAAAUUCAAAGAAGGAGGACAUGGCUGCAUCAGAAUGAAGGAGGAAGAAAAUGUCAAG